rnacentral:sRNA from 13 species
AUAUAUAUAUUUGUGAAUUUGUUAAAGAAACAAAAUUUAGCGCGUGUUAAAAACAAGUGCGAGUUCCCCUUUGUUCACCACGCGUGCUCCCGACACCCACCCACUCAAAACAAAACUGCCAAUAACAAUAACAAAAAAGAGAAGCAGAACAACAACAACAACAAGAGUGCAACACUAUAAAACAAAAAGCGAAAUACACGCAGAGGAGGCGUACUUGAAAACGAAAGUUCUUUCGCAUGCAAACGAUUGCGCAUAAAAAAAGUAAAAAAAAAAACAGCAAGCACACACACACACACAGAUACACCGCACGCAGACACGCUCGCAAAUCGCAAAACAGAGAGAGAGCGAGACAGAGAGAGUGCAGAGAGAGGAGAGGCACCGUGGCCACUUGGCCUUGAACUUGUGCGGCGCGGGAGCGCAGCGAUUGGUAAUUUUUGAAUCGGGAGUUCCACGGACUGCAGCCAUAAUUUAAAGUUGCACAACUCGGUCACAUAAGCGACGCAGGUGGAGACAGAGCCGGAGUCGAGGCAUCUGAGACAAGCGCAACAACAAUUAUUCAACAUCAGGAUACAAAAUACACCUUAAAGUACACAGAAAUCCAGUGGCUUAAUAGCAUUCAUAUUGCCAUAUACAAAUAAAUAAAUAAAUAUAUAUAUAUUUAUAUAUAUAUAUAUAUGUAGUGAUUAUGUUAACUAGAUGCCAUUGAGAAUUUUAGAUCGGCACUAGAAACAUUGAACUCCUUUUUGGACUCUUUGUUGUUGCUCAACAGUGGCAUUUGGAAGCAAAACUUUUUGUACCUGUUGUGUUUUGCGCACGCAAAAGUAAACUUUAAUAAGAUACCUGAGAAUACACUUUAUAUUGCAACAUACAUAUAUACAUAUAUUUAUUUAACAUACAAAAGAAG